rnacentral:lncRNA from 1 species
AAGAAGACUAAAAUAGCCUUUAAUAUUCUCCUGCUAUUAGUACAAUUGAACUAAAUGAAGGGCAAAUGUAGAAUUAAUAUGAUUUAGUCUUUUUAACCAUAUCUUGAGAGACUAGAGACUAAAUCAGUUUAGUCUCUGUUUUAAUCCUACUGUUUGACAAUUUAGGAACUAAAUAAAACUAAAAUAGAGGGACUCUUAAACCAAACGAGGCCUUAGAGUAAUUUUGAUUGGCCGAAGCGGCGGUCUCUGCCCUGGAAGGAGCGCAACGCUUCCAGGUACUCAGCCUCCCCAAAGUCAGGCCACAUCUUGGCGGUGAAGAACAACUCCGAGUACGCCGACUGCCAUAGCAAGAAGUUGCUGAGCCUCAUCUCGCCGCUGGUUCUGAUGACCAGGUCGGGACAGGAGAACUCGCCGGCGGCGCUCGUCGCGAGCUUGCCGGCG